CCGGUCUCACCAUGGAUUGGAAAUUCUUUCAGCCCUAGACUAGACACUGCGAGCAGCCAAACAUGAGAAUAACGCCCGACUCGACCCCUCCCGGCCGCGGCGCCAGUCGACGGCAGCAUCGCCGGCGCACGCCGCCCGACCCCGCCCCGUUCCGUGGUCGCCUCCGACCCGCCCCUUGCUCUUGCUUCUUCUGCUGCUACUCUGCUGCGUUCAGGCGAGCGCCUACGACCCGCUCGAUCCGAGCGGAAACAUCACCGUUAGCUGGGACUUCGUCGACAUCAAGGACAUUUACUCGGUCUCGGUUAGUCUCCAGAACUACCAGCUCUACCGCCACCUCGAGGAUCCAGGGUGGCGGCUGAGCUGGUUUUGGGCUGGCGAUGAGGUGAUCUUGGAUGCGAAGGGCGCGGAGGCGACCGAGCAGGGAAACUGCACUCGCUUCGUCGGUGCUCACAGCUGCGAGAAGCGGCCUGUAAUGAUGGACCUGGGCCCCGGCGUGCCGUACAACCUUCAGGUCGCCAACUGCUGCCGGGGCGGUGUCCUGUCUUCGGUCAUGCAGAACAGCAAGGCGGCCACAUCGACGUUCAUGAUGACCGUCGGCAACUUUGCUCCUUCCAGCGACGGCAGCCCCCAGAUGCCAUUCAAUUUCAGCAUUGGGGUGCCAGGUUACACUUGCAGGAAUGCCACAGUGGUGCCCCCAUCCAGGCCCAGAUCAACAAGCAGCGGCACAUCCAGGCCCUGAGUAUGUCUUUUACUUGCGAGUGUAAUUUAUUUAGUAGAGGUCUUGCAAUACGUAGCAUUUAUCUGAUUAUUCUUGUUGUGCAAUGUAUAGUUGCAGUCUUGCAGAUAGGAAUUAACAAAUAUCACAACACCAGGCAAUGAAAAUACACGAGUGAUAGUCAAAAACACAGUUUGCUUGCUCCACCCAAAUCAACCAAAAUCAAAUCAAGUUACAAUUCAUUUAAAAUAAAAAUCAUAAACUAAUAGAGUAUUUUGCUUCGAUAAUCGUUCUGGCCGUGGUGACGGCGUCCAUUGAGAGAAGUUAACCAACGCUAUACCUAUUACUUAAUAUAUGGUAGAAACAAAAGCGGUAUAAUUUACACUGUACAGCAAAAUCUAUACUCGGAGACGGAACUUUGUGACACAAACCAAUAGAUGCUAUAGCGUUACAACUAACAACUGCACAGAUAGUGGUGGCUGCAACUACCUGAUGCCGACAGGACAGAGAAAAUACACUGCCUCCUGCACAUGAGAACUAUGCUUCUAAAGCUCGUUAAUUUGUUCAAACACGAGUGUAGCUAGCAGAUCAAUUAAGCACACCUCAAAUCCACUUUAAUCAGGCCUUAGUAACAUGGAAUCUAGAAGUAUCAUACUUAUAUUCUUUUGGGUAAAAGAUAUCGUACUUAUGUAAAUGCGCAAGAAACAGUACAAAGUUCAGUAAAGAGAAGCUAAAAACACCAUUCAUUUACUAUACAAGUGAACUAUUUCUUCUCAAGCAUGCAGCCAUUCAUUUACUAUACAGCAGGGCUAUUUCUAACCAUCAUCAUUCUAUUUGUUCCU